UGGGGAAUCUUGCAAAAUGGGCGAAAGCCCGAUGCAGCAACGCCGCGUGGGCGAUGAAGGCCUUCGGGUCGUAAAGCCCUUUUUGAGGGGAUGAGGAAGGACAGUACCCUCAGAAUAAGCCUCGGCUAACUACGUGCCAGCAGCCGCGGUAAAACGUAGGAGGCGAGCGUUAUCCGGAUUUACUGGGCGUAAAGCGCGUGCAGGCGGAUUGGAGAGUUGGAUGUGAAAGCUCCCGGCUUAACUGGGAGAGGUCGUUCAAUACUUCCAGUCUUGAGUGCAGUAGAGGGAAGUGGAAUUCCGGGUGUAGUGGUGAAAUGCGUAGAUAUCCGGAGGAACACCAGUGGCGAAAGCGGCUUCCUGGACUGUAACUGACGCUCAGACGCGAAAGCUAGGGUAGCAAACG
rnacentral:rRNA from 1 species